AAAGUACUCCCUCCGUCCCAAAAUUCUUGUCUUAGAUUUGUCUAGAUACGGAUGUAUCAAGUCACAUUUUAGUUUUAGAUACAUCCGUAUCUAGACAAAUCUUAGACAAGAAAUUUGAGACAGAGGGAGUAGUUG
rfam:Triticum aestivum genome assembly, contig: Triticum_aestivum_CS42_TGACv1_scaffold_203387_3AL